rnacentral:rRNA from 1 species
AGUAGUUUGAUCCGUGGCUCAGGACGAACGCUGGCGGCGUGCUUAACACAUGCAAGUCGAACGAGGUGAUAUUGCGGAAGGCUUCGGCCGGAAGUGAUAUGACCGAGUGGCGGACGGGUGAGUAACGCGUGAGCAACCUGUCUUACACAGGGGGGAUAACGCUCCGAAAGGAGUGCUAAUACCGCAUAAGACCACGGUACCGCAUGAUACUGAGGUAAAAGGAGAGAUCCGGUGUAAGGUGGGCUCGCGUCCCAUUAGAUAGUUGGUGAGGUAACGGCUCACCAAGUCGACGAUGGGUAGCCGACCUGAGAGGGUGAUCGGCCACAUUGGAACUGAGAUACGGUCCAGACUCC